GACGAACGCUGGCGGCGUGCUUAACACAUGCAAGUCGAACGGAAAGGCCCUGCUUUUGUGGGGUGCUCGAGUGGCGAACGGGUGAGUAACACGUGAGUAACCUGCCCUUGACUUUGGUAUAACUUCAGGAAACUGGGGCUAAUACCGGAUAGGAGCUCCUGCUGCAUGGUGGGGGUUGGAAAUUUUCGGCGGUUGGGGAUGGACUCGCGGCUUAUCAGCUUGUUGGUGGGGUAGUGGCUUACCCAGGCUUUGACGGGUAGCCGGCCUGAGAGGGUGACCGGCCACAGUGGGACUGAGAGACGGCGCAGAGGCCUACGGGAGGCAGCAGGGGGGAAUAUGGCACAAUGGGAGGGAGCCGGAUGCAGCAACGCCGCGUGCGGGAUGACGGCCUGCGGGUUGUAAACCGCUGUCGCCUGUGACGAAGCGGGAGUGACGGUAAUGGGUAAAGAAGCACCGGCUAACUACGUG
rnacentral:rRNA from 1 species